UUACGGCUAUAUCACAGUGAAACACCGGUUCCCGUACGAUCACUGAAAUUAAGCAACGUCGAGCUUGGUCAGUACCUAUAUGGGUGACCGCUUGGGAAUACCAGUUACUGUAAG